AUUGAACGCUGGCGGCAUGCUUUACACAUGCCAGUCGAACGGUAACAGGCCUUCGGGUGCUGACGAGUGGCGCACGGGUGAGUAAUGCAUCGGAACGUACCCAGAGGUGGGGGAUAACGCAGCGAAAGCUGUGCUAAUACCGCAUGUGAUCUGAGGAUGAAAGCGGGGGACCGAGCAGCAAUGUUUGGCCUCGCGCCUUUGGAGCGGCCGAUGUCGGAUUAGCUAGUUGGUGGGGUAAAGGCCUACCAAGGCGACGAUCCGUAGCUGGUCUGAGAGGACGACCAGCCACACUGGGACUGAGACACGGCCCAGACUCCUACGGGAGGCAGCAGUGGGGAAUGUUGGACAAUGGGCGCAAGCCUGAUCCAGCAAUGCCGCGUGCGGGAAGAAGGCCUUCGGGUUGUAAACCGCUUUUGGCAGGAACGAAACGGUGUCCGCUAAUACCGGGCGCUAAUGACGGUACCUGCAGAAUAAGCACCGGCUAACUACGUG
rnacentral:rRNA from 1 species